GAUGAACGCCGGCGGUGUGCCUAAUACAUGCAAGUCGAACGCGUUGGCCCAACUGAUUGAACGUGCUUGCACGGACUUGACGUUGGUUUACCAGCGAGUGGCGGACGGGUGAGUAACACGUAGGUAACCUGCCCCAAAGCGGGGGAUAACAUUUGGAAACAGAUGCUAAUACCGCAUAACAAUUUGAAUCGCAUGAUUCAAAUUUAAAAGAUGGCUUCGGCUAUCACUUUGGGAUGGACCUGCGGCGCAUUAGCUUGUUGGUAGGGUAACGGCCUACCAAGGCUGUGAUGCGUAGCCGAGUUGAGAGACUGAUCGGCCACAAUGGAACUGAGACACGGUCCAUACUCCUACGGGAGGCAGCAGUAGGGAAUCUUCCACAAUGGGCGCAAGCCUGAUGGAGCAACACCGCGUGAGUGAAGAAGGGUUUCGGCUCGUAAAGCUCUGUUGUUAGAGAAGAACGUGCGUGAGAGCAACUGUUCACGCAGUGACGGUAUCUAACCAGAAAGUCACGGCUAACUACGUGCCAGCAGCCGCGGUAAUACGUAGGUGGCAAGCGUUAUCCGGAUUUAUUGGGCGUAAAGCGAGCGCAGGCGGUUUGAUAAGUCUGAUGUGAAAGCCUUUGGCUUAACCAAAGAAGUGCAUCGG
rnacentral:rRNA from 1 species